rnacentral:lncRNA from 1 species
AAUAAAUUAAAAUAAACCAGACAUCUGGUUGUCAGUUUGAGAAGGCUUAGACCAAGGCUAAUAGCAUGCUUGCAUGUUGCCUCAUUAAAACCUUACCAAGAAAACCCAAUGGGACAAAACCUGGUGAGGAAAAAGAGUACAACACAUGCUACUCCCCUUGGUGGUCGGCUAGAUCUCAGAACCGGAAAGAGUUGGAGUGGAUGAAAUGGAAACUGAGUCUGGACCAAGCUCGGAUGUGGAAAUGAGAAGUCCGGCUUGGUUGAGUCUGAACUGGAUCGGGCCGGCCGCGUCCUGAACCUCCUUUGGGCCGGCUUGAUCUUGAAUCUUCAACUGGACCAUCUUCUCAAUCAGCAGCUGGUCCUGGUCAGUCUGUCCAUCUUGAUCAAGGAUAUGCUGGACAGCUUUGGUGAAACCUUCUCGCAAGGCCCUGGUUCCACUCCGGGUAGUCGGACCACGCCUAACAAUGGGAACCUCUACUUGGAUGGCCUCAUCA